rnacentral:rRNA from 1 species
AUUGAACGCUGGCGGCAGGCUUAACACAUGCAAGUCGAGCGGGGGAAGGUAGCUUGCUACUGGACCUAGCGGCGGACGGGUGAGUAAUGCUUAGGAAUCUGCCUAUUAGUGGGGGACAACAUCUCGAAAGGGAUGCUAAUACCGCAUACGUCCUACGGGAGAAAGCAGGGGAUCUUCGGACCUUGAGCUAAUAGAUGAGCCUAAGUCGGAUUAGCUAGUUGGUGGGGUAAAGGCCUACCAAGGCGACGAUCUGUAGCGGGUCUGAGAGGAUGAUCCGCCACACUGGGACUGAGACACGGCCCAGACUCCUACGGGAGGCAGCAGUGGGGAAUAUUGGACAAUGGGGGGGACCCUGAUCCAGCCAUGCCGCGUGUGUGAAGAAGGCCUUAUGGUUGUAAAGCACUUUAAGCGAGGAGGAGGCUACUCUAGUUAAUACCUAGGGAUAGUGGACGUUACUCGCAGAAUAAGCACCGGCUAACUCUGUGCCAGCCGCCGCAGUAA